UGAGUAACACGUGGGUAACCUGCCCAUCAGAAGGGGAUAACACUUGGAAACAGGUGCUAAUACCGUAUAACAAUCGAAACCGCAUGGUUUCGUUUUGAAAGGCGCUUUACGGUGCCGCUGAUGGAUGGACCCGCGGUGCAUUAGCUAGUUGGUGAGGUAACGGCUCACCAAGGCCACGAUGCAUAGCCGACCUGAGAGGGUGAUCGGCCACAUUGGGACUGAGACACGGCCCAAACUCCUACGGGAGGCAGCAGUAGGGAAUCUUCGGCAAUGGACGAAAGUCUGACCGAGCAACGCCGCGUGAGUGAAGAAGGUUUUCGGAUCGUAAAACUCUGUUGUUAGAGAAGAACAAGGGUGAGAGUAACUGUUCACCCCUUGACGGUAUCUAACCAGAAAGCCAC
rnacentral:rRNA from 1 species